AGCUCCAAUAGCGUAUAUUAAAGUUGCUGCAGUUAAAAAGCUCGUAGUUGGAUUUGUGGCGCGGCCGUCCGGCGGGGGUCCUUCUAUGGUCUCGUUUGUCCUGGUUUUCGGCCGCUCCUUUCUCGGGUAGAGCGUAAUGGCUGGCAUUAGGUUGUCGGCCGCUUCGCGCCCGUCGUUUACUGUGAAAAAAUUAGAGUGUUCAAAGCAGGCUUAGGCCGUUGGAUACAUUAGCAUGGAAUAAUGAGAUAGGGCCACGGCGGUCUAUUUUGUUGGUUUGCACGUUGUGGUAAUGAUUAACAGGAACGGUUGGGGGUAUUCGUAUUCAAUUGUCAGAGGUGAAAUUCUUGGAUUUACGGAAGACGAACAUCUGCGAAAGCAUUUGCCAAGGAUGUUUUCAUUG
rnacentral:rRNA from 1 species